GAUGAACGCUGGCGGCGUGCUUAACACAUGCAAGUCGAACGAGAAUCAACGGAUUGAGGAUUCGUCCAAAUGAAGUUGAGGAAAGUGGCGGACGGGUGAGUAACGCGUGAGGAACCUGCCUCGGAGUGGGGAAUAACAGUUGGAAACAGCUGCUAAUACCGCAUAAUGCAACGGAAUCGCAUGACUCUGUUGCCAAAGAUUUAUCGCUGAGAGAUGGGCUCGCGUCCGAUUAGGUAGAUGGUGAGGCAACGGCUCACCAUGCCGACGAUCGGUAGCCGGACUGAGAGGUCGAUCGGCCACAUUGGGACUGAGACACGGCCCAG
rnacentral:rRNA from 1 species